GUCAUCUUGUUUUGAGCACUUACUCUGGGUUGAGCUGCAAUGAGUUAAGAAUAGUCAGCAGAACAAAUACGCUCAUCUUUGAUCCACUGGGGGAUGGAAAAUUAAAAACAAACCAACCAACAAAUGAAAAGACACACAAACCAUUUUGCUUGUGGAGAGUCUUACUGUCACAGCUGAGAGAAACCAACAGAACAAAUUAUGAGCGUGAGCUGUGCGUGAGAGCCAAAAGCUGGUGCUGAAACUGUCAGAACUGAAAUCUCUCAGUGAGUUCAGAGGCAACCCUCAGUAUUUUACAUUUCUUGAACAACCCAAGCCUCCCCACAGAGAUGAAUUGUUAAAGCUCACAUCCGAUCAGCUCCCAGAACAGCUGUAACCACAGCGGAGGAAAAGGCACAAUAAGAUUGUUCCUUAAGUGAAAAAACAAGGAGCAUUAGCAUUGUAACUUGCCAGCAGUGGAAUUUAUAGAUAAUUUAACCCAAACAAAUGAGCUGCUGUUUCUCCAGGAGAGGCCGAAAACACAUUGGAAAGCCACUCCAGAAGUAAAUGCAUUGCCUGUGGUCCAGCCCCCAGACACAGAGGGACGUGUCACACCCCUGCUGCUUGUCCUCAAGUUCAAUGUAACCUUGGUACACGAAGUGACAAGAGGAGCAAAGCAUUCCAGACAAGGUGAAAUGGUUUGUUUCCUUUCCUCUGUGAUGGGCUGUAAAAUGUGAACUACAGAUCAACGGUGAUAACGUGGAUGAGCUGUUUCCAUUGCAAAGCGAAUACAGCCCCUGCAGCGUAAUUUCAGUAGGAUGGCAAUGAUGGGUAAUGAGCAGCAAUGCUUGCUGCUAUUUGGUAACUGAAAGUAGUUUUGUGUUUACAACCCCUUUAUUUCUGGUACAGCAGCCAUCAGAUGCUAUUAGCUUGUGGGAGCAGGUAGAUGGAGUGACUCUUAAACUGGCAAUUUCCAAGUAAGCUCUUGACAGCAAAAUUGGGCAGUUGCUCACCCCUGUGAAGUCUCCUACCUCUGAUAUAUUCAGCUUUUUGCCUAAAGCUUUUUACCUGUGCUCAGGGCACAUGGAAGCAGCCAUGGUCCUGCAAAAUUGGCCAUUGGCCAUCCCUCAUCAGCCCCCGGCUCUCCAGCUCUUGUCUUGCCACUGGUUGAGGAGGUACCAGCUGGUCACUUUGAUGAUGGCAGUGAAAACCAGUGUUGCAGACUCGCUCUGGUCCCAAUUUUGAAGUUGUGGUUAUUGGAGUGCAGACUGCUAUUUUGUGGCUCAGGUGAUCCUGCCCCAGCACUGCUGGCACAUGCACAAGCAUGCACAGAGCCCGUGCUUGCACUCUCAUCUGGAGCAGCUGAUGCACACUUGCUGCCAGAUGGCCCCAGGCUCAUGUCCCACCGGCGCAGGUGACACCUGGAUCCUCUGUCCAGCAGAGCUUCCAGAGAUAAAUUCAUGUAGGACUGGGGGGAGGCUGCAGCCUUCCCCCAUGUGCUGUUUCUGCGGUGCUAGUGGCUGUGCUGCGAAGCUCGUGGGCAGCUGGUGGGCAGGCGGUGCCCAGCAUGGCCACGCAGGCUCCUGCAGGUGUGGCAGGGUGGCUGCUGAGUGUGGAGGGGCAACUCCUCAAAUCAGCCUUGCAUGAAGAUAGUGCAGGCUGGGUCAAAAAUCAGUGUGCCUGUGGCAAAAACCUGAAGGCAUGUGAAACAUGGGGCUUGAGGGUGUAAAAAAGCACAGGCUAGUGAAAAUUGAAGCUACAGACCAAUGGGUUUGUACAGUUCAGUGGUGUUUUUUAUUAGGGCUUCUUAAAUGAUAGGCUUUGUACCAGCACAACUGUGCUUUUUAACCACUUCUGCUGUUUGUGGGUGCAGAACAGAGUUCUUGCAGCGAUGGCUCACAGGCAGUAAGUAGCAUGAUAAAUGCUUUGGUCCUCGUAUCCUGCUUUACAAAGAAAUACAGGAAAAUGUGAAGCAAGGAGUGUGGGGGGAGAAAAGUGCUUUUCAUUUCCUAUUUGUUUUCUAAAAUCCGACUGCUGGAAGGACAUUUCUGAGGAGCAAGGUUGUGACUUCAGCUGUCAGCAACAUCCUCACGGAGCAUGGAAUUAUUCUGCUGGUUGAGAUGUUGUAACAUAGCUUAUGGUUCCCUACCUUUACAUCUGCUUUACUAAAAAAAAAAUAAUCCUGAUUAUAAUUCCAAGGGUCAGUGUUGGAGCAGUAGUUUCCUGUAGUUCUCAAAUGUAAUCACAAGUCUCACUCUGGUUUGGCUGCCUGGGAAUGAAUUCAGGCUGCUUGGCCUUGGUUACUCAGUUUGAUGUCUCAGCAUGUAGCAUAUUGGCUAUUGAGCGUGAGCUUCUUUCUGCAAAGUACCGUUAUGUACUUGAAAUAAUGUUUUGUUUCAUAUAAAGACAAAUUACAAAAACAAACAUUUGUGCAGCCUUUCUCCUGCACUUAUUUCCCUGACUCAUUCCUUUUUUAACUCCUUUCUCAGAUUGUUACAGCAUUUUCAGUUCACUGGGUUCAAUCUCCUGCAUUCAAGUGCUGCUGCUGUGCCUUAGCGGG